rnacentral:rRNA from 1 species
UACGAAGGGGGGCUAGCGUUGCUCGGAAUUACUGGGCGUAAAGCGCACGUAGGCGGCUUUCUAAGUCGGGGGUGAAAUCCUGGAGCUCAACUCCAGAACUGCCUUCGAUACUGGAGAGCUCGAGUCCGGGAGAGGUGAGUGGAACUGCGAGUGUAGAGGUGAAAUUCGUAGAUAUUCGCAAGAACACCAGUGGCGAAGGCGGCUCACUGGCCCGAUACUGACGCUGAGGUGCGAAAGCGUGGGGAGCAAACAGG